rnacentral:rRNA from 1 species
GACGAACGCCGGCGGCGUGCUUAACACAUGCAAGUCGAACGGAAAGGCCCUGCUUUUGUGGGGUGCUCGAGUGGCGAACGGGUGAGUAACACGUGAGUAACCUGCCCUUGACUUUGGGAUAACUUCAGGAAACUGGGGCUAAUACCGGAUAGGAGCUCCUGCUGCAUGGUGGGGGUUGGAAAGUUUCGGCGGUUGGGGAUGGACUCGCGGCUUAUCAGCUUGUUGGUGGGGUAGUGGCUUACCAAGGCUUUGACGGGUAGCCGGCCUGAGAGGGUGACCGGCCACAUUGGGACUGAGAUACGGCCCAGACUCCUACGGGAGGCAGCAGUGGGGAAUAUUGCACAAUGGGCGGAAGCCUGAUGCAGCAACGCCGCGUGCGGGAUGACGGCCUUCGGGUUGUAAACCGCUUUCGCCUGUGACGAAGCGUGAGUGACGGUAAUGGGUAAGAAGCACCGGCUAACUACGUG